rnacentral:ncRNA from 1 species
GGUGGUAGGCCCGCCGAAGCCGGCUGUCGGAAGCAGGCUUCAAACCAGCCCAAGCUGCAGGCAUUAAGAGCAUUGGGUCAAAAGGCUGCACUAAGAUGCAGUCAGGU